CCCCAUGGCCGGCCCUGACCCAAGGCCACAAAGGUAGUCAUUUCGUUUUUAGGGCAAAUCAUUCCAGCCUCCCCCAUCGCCUCCAUCUCUAUUCUGGUUCUCGACUCUGAAUUUGCCCUCUCUCUCUAUCACUGCAAACUACGAAAUCUACAAGAAUCAGAGGUUCAAAACCCAUAUAUUUGAGUUUGUCUAUCUGUCUACAAGAAUCAAAAGUUCAAAACCCAUAUCGGCAUAUCAUUUCAGAUUGUUCAAAAAAUCAAAACCCAUACCUUUCAGUUUCCAUCGCCCGCUGUUCCAGUUCGGGUUCGCCGUUCGCAAGCUUCAUCCGCUGUCUCUCAACUCUCAAGCUUGCCCCCCUCUCUCUCUGCAACUGCUAACUUGUAUGUAUUGGUUUUGUUUUUAUUUUUUUUUUCUAAAUCAACUAAUCAAGCUCUGUAAUUCUUGUUUUGCAAACUAAAAUUAGGUGUAAUCUUGAUUUUGUAAAGGUAAAUUUGGCAUCAUAAAUACAUCAAGCCUCUCCUUCCCUUUCCUUUCCAUUUCCUCCCAAAAAUUACUGUUUAUGCCUUGUGUUAUCCUUCCCAAAUUAUCCCUUUCCUUCCAACCAUUUAUGAUAAACACAAAUUUGUAAUCACCCUCCGUCACCUUUCCUUUCCAUUCCUCCCUUUUCCAUUGCACCAAACUGAUCCUAACCCUAGCUGCGCGUAGAUAGGUAACGUGCUCUUCCACGCGGGCGAAGACGAGUCUCCAUCUCUCCCUCUCCCUCUCCCUCUCCCUCUCCCUCUGGCUCUCUAUCUACGCCAUAUUUCCCGCGAUCUCGCACCUCUCCAUUUGGAUGGCUGAACGAGAAGUGAAUUCUGAUGGUGGAGGUUAGUGGCGAUUUAUUGUUCUAGGUUUGAAUUUAUGAUUAUAUAUAAUAUGAAUGUUCAUGCAUAUACACACGAAAUAUCUUGUUCUAUAUAUGUGUGUGUGUGUGUGUGUGUGUGAAUGUACACAUUUCACACACAAAAUCUUUUCCUCUGACGUUGUUUACCUAAUCGAGCGGAGCUCUGACAUUCAUGGGGAAGCUGGAGCCGAGCUCGGACAUUUUUGUGAACCAACCCCUGCUACAUGGCCAGUCAAGACUGACCGUUUGUCUUUGACUAGUAGGUGCGAAGUGUGUUACUGUCAAUCAAGUGUAACACCAACCAGUCACGAGUGCAUUCACUUGAGAUUAAAGCAAUUUACUAUUUACUAGUCUCUCUUUAAAUUUGACAACGCCCCUUUUCUAUCUGUUGUAUUUGUUCUUCUUUGCCCUUUUCAUUAAUGUUCUCGUUUGUGCUAUCUAGCUUUCAAAUAUUUAAUUCUUUGAUCUUUAUAAUUUAGGUGCUACCAAAUUUCCCAAUUACAAGGGAAAAAAAAAAAAAAAAUUCCCAACCACAAAAAGGUAGAAGUUGAUUGGAUUGGGCGGUGUUGGGAAAAAAAAAAAAAACAGGGAACAAUAACAAGGACGAAGAAGGUUUGAAAUUAACUGAAAAUUCCAAGGGUAAAGAUGACCCAUCUCUAGCUUCAGUAGACCCCUCCCCAGUCCCCAGUCCCCAGUCCCAGUUGCAGAAUUCAUCCAUUUUCUAGUUGUAGAAGUCGUCCCUUCUCCACCAUCUGAAACUUCUACUAAAACUGAAGGAGAGAAAAACUCCUUAGAUUCCAAGUCUGAAGGUGAUAGAACCAAGUCAGACUAAAAGGCUAAUUAUGAAGAUUUCCGGAAGGACAGAGAAGAUAUGAUGCUCAAGCUUACGGUCUGGUGCUGGUAGUGGGACUUGGUUCAUUGGGUUUACAAAUUGGAGUGUGGAUGACAUCUUAUAAUAGUGAAAAGGAUCAGAAUGCGAAAAUGAAUCUUCUGAUGAAGGAGUCCCUUGAAAAACAUGACACAAUGAUUGACAUCUACAAGGAAAUUGAGGUUUCUAUUGUUAAUCUAUACUUUAGUGGAAAUGUAUGCUUAAAUGAGUAUUUGUUACUAACAGGCCUAUGACCUAGCGGUAUCAAGCCCCUACUUCCUAAAGGGAGGUCAGAGGUUCGAAUCUCAGUGGAGGUAUGUGUGUGUGAGUAUAUGUUAAUUUUGAUUCUUCUUUUCUUUUAAGCAAUAGGAAGGAGGUCGUUGUUCCGUAGAAUUUUUGGCUUAAGAUAUUGUUUGCUAUCUCUAUUUAUUUAUGAUUGUUCAAAAAUCUGGGCAUUGACAGCUUAUGUGAAACUAAUGGUAUGUAUUUCUUUUGGCCUGAAAUAUAUCUUGAACCAUUUUAUAAACCUUCUAUUUAUUUGUACCUUAAA